rnacentral:misc_RNA from 1 species
GAUGAAGAACGCAGUGAAAUGCGAUACGUAAUGUGAAUUGCAGAUCUCUCAGUGAACCAUCGAGUCUUUGAACGCACAUUGCGCCCCCUGGUAUUCCGGGGGGCAUGCCUGUCCGAGCGUCAUUGCUGCCCUCAAGCACGGCUUGUGUGUUGGGCCUCCGUCCUCCUCCCGGGGGACGGGCCCGAAAGGCAGCGGCGGCACCGCGUCCGGUCCUCGAGCGUAUGGGGCUUCGUCACCCGCUCUUGUAGGCCCGGCCGGCGCUUGCCGACACAUCAAUCUUUUUUCCAGGUUGACCUCGGAUCAGGUAGGGAUACCCGCUGAACUUAAGCAUAUCAAUAAGCGGAGGA